rnacentral:lncRNA from 1 species
CGGGGUACAGCCGGAGGGUCUCAUUGAUGACGCAGUUGAGGUAUGGGAGAUCGGGGAUGUCUUCUUCUUCCGCCAUGCGCCCUUGGCCGAUCUUGGCAUCGAGCUCGGCCCUCACCGCGUGCAGGACUUCAGGGUGGUUGAGCAGGAGGCACAUGGCCCAUUCCAUGGUGACGGCCGACGUGUCUGUUCCAGCUGCCAAUAGUGACUACACAUGAAAAGAGUGUGUAUUAUUUCCUUCUCCUCGUGUCUGCCUCUAUCACAACCCUCCAAUAGGAUCAAAUUCUAUCAUUUGUUAGUAUGUUAUCAUUGGAGGUUGAGGGUCAUAUACUCUUUUUUUUUUUUCUUUUUUUUUAUGGCAGUCAAUAUUUAGUGGGCACGGUAGAAAAUUAACUAAUAAGACUGUUGCUUCAUAUGCCGACUUAAGCCAUGACUAAUAUUUUUAUUAAAGUGAAGCUAAUUAUACAUUAUCCUUCCGUAAUUAAUUAUCUUUACAUAUAAAUUUUUACGUGAUAAUAUUAAGAAUUUUAUAUUUAUAAAAUAAAAUAUCAAUACUUUUAUAUAAAUUUAAAAAUAUAAUUUUAUAAAAUAAAAAAUAAAUAAAAAAUAAAUUUUAUUAGAACAAUGAAUAAUUUUUGAAAUUAUAAAGAUCAAUGUUAAAGAUAACUAAUCCCUCGAAAUGGCGACAGCGAUAAUUCCGCUGCUUGGUGGGAGAUGAACAUAGCCGGUAAUUCGGCUCCGAGACGGGAGGUGACAUAGCCGGUUAAUGACGAAGAAAUAAGAAAGAACACGUACCACGAUAAGGCCCUUAAUUGUGACGUCGGUGUACGUUUCCGGCUCGCUUUCCUGCAAGGACAACAUAACGUCGAUCACCGUUGUCCUCCCCUCGUCUCCUUUCCCCGCCGCCGCCUCUCGGUUGCGGCAACUCUGACGGCGGCGGACGCGAUGACGCUCGAUCAGUUCCCCGAUUAACGCGUCCCUCCUAUGGUGGAGACUCGCGAGCUUCCUCUCAUGCCCACGCCAGCCCAGCCUCCGCAGCGCCGGAAAGAAGUCCGCCACGUUUACCGCCCCGCUCACCGCAAACGUCUCCUCCACCACCUCCCGGAAUCGCUGCCUCUCGUCCGUGGACUCCCCCUCGAUGGCCGUGGCCACCACCCCCAUCAUCACGUCGUACGCGAGAUUGAAGAACCUCGACUUCAUCUCCACCCGCCGCGGGCCGGACGGCCCCGAAUCGCCCCCCUCAAGGAAGAGGGACUUCGCGAGCGACCGGACCGCGCCAGUCCGUGAGUCGGAGGACGAGCGGAGGGCGCCCGUGGAUAAGAGGUGGACGGCGGAUAUGCGGCGGAGGUUGCGCCAGUGGGGACCGUAGGGGGACCAGGCGAUGGUUGUGCAGCCGUAGCCUAGGAUCUGAGCGGCGAGUAGGCGGGGGCGGUUGGCGAAGGCAAGGUCGUGGGCGGUGAAGCACUCUUCCGCGGCGGGAGCGGAGGAGACGAGGAGGACGGGGCGGGAUCCGAGGCGGAGGAGUACGACGGGGCCGCGGGCGGCAGCGAUGGCAGCGAGGGCGCGGUGGAGCGGGGGCUUGGCGAUGAGGUGGAGGUGGCCGAUGAAGGGGAACGAUGGGGGGCUCGGCGGGGGAUUCUUGCGAGCACUCUUCAGCCAUCGCCGUGACAGGGAUGCGAGCAACAGGACGAGGAGAGGGAAAAGAAGAGAAGAGAGGAAAGUGAGAGAGGAGGCGUCGUCGGCCAUACUUGUCCAAAGAUGAGCGGUUUUGCAGGGAUGGGCUGAAACCAAAAUGAUGAAGCAGCCCUGCCUUGUAUCCUCAAGGAUGGGGUUAGGUUAUUGACGUGGGUCCUCCGAGAUCACCGUCUGAUCAACGCCUGGGCAACAGAAGCAUGUCUGAUUUCGUCCCACUUGGAACACAUCUAUUAUCUAAAAAAUCAGAUAUCACCACAAAUGUAUCAUUUUAAAAAAUUAAUUUCACCCUGAUGCAGUCACCGUCUGCCGUGCUUGAAUAUUCUUCGACAAAAAUGAAAAAAAAAAAUUGAACAUUUUCUUGUAAAAAAUCAGUUUGAAUAUAUUUGGAGAAACAGCCUCUAACCAUUCGAUGCAGUGCUUCUUGUAUUGGUAACGAUCAACGUGAGGUGAUGAGAAAAGCUACAGAAAUUACUCGCAAUCUCAGAGUCGAUAACUAAACGCCACUGAAAUAAGCAGGAAUUUUAUAGCUGAUAAGAAAACAUCAAUUGACACGGGAAUGAAAUUAAUUUUUUUUUAAUUUAAAAAAGACCACACCUGUGUUUUUAAAAACCAAAGCGAAUUANNNNNNNNNNNNNNNNNNNNUUGGAAUGACGUUCGAGACAUUGACGAAGCUGUGAAGUCGAAAAUGAAGGGAGAAGCCACCCACAUACGCGCCUCUGGAUGAGGCUAAAUCGUGCACGACGGUAACUGAUAUGGUAUGCCACCGUCUCCGGGUGCCGUUUCCACCACGGCCACCAAAGGCUGGUCCACCCGGACGGCGACCGCCCAUUGCACUCGCAGCAGCUUCACCUUGUCAACUCUCAGACUGAUCUUAUAGUUUAAAAUGGGGUACAAAUAAUCAUCAUUGCUCAAUUCUGUUAGUUGUUCCUUCGACCGUUUAUUUAUUUCUGAACCCUCCUUAUUGUAGUCCAUAAUUUGAUGGAUUUGUCGCAAUGGAUGUAACAUGACACGCAAAUAGGAUGACACUGCAUGUAAAUUACUAGAUUUAUAUGGAGUAAGAUAAUACAAGUAACGGUCAUACCUAUCUCAGCCUGUAAAUUACUAAUUAGGCCACAAACACAGGUUAAGACGCCAACCAACACGAACAAAAGCGUGGAUAACUACAAAAGCCCACGUAUCAGACAACGAACCCACAAGCAGCUUUUGAAUAGGAGGAACGUAUUUGCCAUACUCUUUGCCAAUUCUCAGAGCUGUGAAAGGGCAUGAAGCAUGGUGCGGCGUGGCGUGCACACGACUUCCAAUGGCUUUACCUUGGGCAUGGAUAGCCCCUGCCCUUCAGUCAUGUCCACCUCCUCCCCCGGAAGCUUCUCCCACUCGAAACAGUGGAUCAAGAUCGCGAGUGCCAGGCCGAUCAGUCGAAUGGCGAGGCCUUCCCCGGGGCACUUGCGCCGCCCGGACCCGAACGGAAGCAUCCUAAGCCCUGUCUCCUCCUUCCCUCCCUCGCACUGGAACCUCUCCGGCUUGAACUCCUCGGGUUCGUCCCAUAUGUUAGGGUCCCUGUGGAUGGCCCACGCGUUCGUCAAAAGCAUCGUGCCGCAAGGCACGUCGUAGCCUCCGACGGUGCAGUCCUGGGAAGACUCAUGGGGCACCAGGAGCGGCACAGCGUGGUACAACCGGAGGGUUUCAUUGAUGAUGCAGUUGAGGUAGGGGAGAUUGGGGAUGUCUUCUUCUUCCACCAUCCGCCCUUGGCCGAUCCUGGCAUCGAGCUCGGCCCUCGCCGUGUGCAGGACUUCGGGGUGGAUGAGCAGGAGGCACAUGGCCCAUUCUAUGGUGACGGCCGACGUGUCUGUUCCUGCUGCCAUUAAUUCCUACACAUGAUAGUAGUGUGUGUAUUAUUUACUAUUUAGGAAUUAGUGAAUAGAAAAUAAAUGAUUAUUUACUAAUUCAUAGAACUUAAUUAUUAUUACUAAAAGCAUUAGAGUAGUUUGACAUCACAACUGACUUGUGGCGAGGGAUGUAAUCCCGCUUCUAUUACCGCUCGGCGUCCAUCAGUGCACUUUAGUCGUGAACGGAAGCGAGGCGAGGAACAUAACCGGAAGACUACGAAUAGCGAAGAAACGAGACGUACCACAAUGAGGCCCUUAAUGGUGACGUCGGUGUAAGUUCCCGGAUCGCUUUCCUGAAGAGACAACAUAACGUCGAUCACCGUUGCCCUCCCCUUAUCUCCGUUCCCUACCGCCCCGCCGCCUCUCGGUUGCGGCAACUCUGACGGCGGCGGACGCGAUGACGCUCGAUCAGUUCCCCGAUCAUUCGGACCCGAACCCAGCCGUGUUGGUCCCGAGGCCACGGCUUAAAGUUGUUGACACCAACAGUAGCCACCGACGGUGCAAUGCUGGGAAGACUCAUGGGGUACCAGGAGCGGUCCGGCGGGAUACGGCCGGAGGGUCUCAUUGAUGAUGCAGUUGAGGUAGGGGAGAUUGGGAAUGUCUUCUUCUUCCGCCAUGCGCCCUUGGCCGAUCUUGGCAUCGAGCUCGGCCGUCGCCGCAUGCAGGACUUCAGGGUGGUUGAGCAGGAGGCACAUGGCCCAUCCCAUGGUGACGGCCGACGUGUCUGUUCCUGCUGCCAGUAAUUCCUACACAUGAAAGUAGUGUGUGUCUUAUUUACUAUUUAGGAAUUAGUGAAUACAAAAUAAAUGAUUAUUUACUAAUUCUUAGAACUUAAUUAUUAUUACUAAAAGUACAGAGCUGCUCGACAUCACAACUGACUUGUGGCGAGGGAUGUAAUCCCGCUUCUAUUACCGCUCGGCGUCCAUCAAUGCACUUUAGUCGUGAACGGAAGCGGGGCGAGGAACAUGACCGGAAGACUACGAAUAGUGAAGAAGAGGAAGAGAGGGAUAAGAAGAGAAGAGAGGUGAGGGGAGGGAGAGAGGAGGGGCGUCGGCCAUGGUACGUUGUCCGAGGAUGAAAGGUUUGCGCGAAAUGGUUGCUUAUAAGCCCCAUGGGAUAAUGUCUCCUUGAGUCGACACCAUUAUGGAUCAUCAUCGGUGGGGUUUGACAGAAUUGGAUUCGGACCUCCAUAGGUUAGGAUGUCUCCUAUCCCAGCAGGUAGCGAAGAAUUCAUAAAUGACACGGAUGUGACCAAUAGGAAGAGAGGGAUACGAAGAGAAGAAAGAAGAGGCAGAGAGGAGAACACGUCGGAGGAUGGAAGAUUUGCGUGAAAUGGUUUCUGACAGAGGUUGCUUAAGCACCAUGGGACAAUGCCUCCUUGAGUCAACACCGUUUUCCUUGACAAAGUUGGAUUCACUGAUCCAGUGGACCCCUCAGCAGAAGUUUCAAAAGGCCGUUAGCAGAUGGGCAAUCUUUUUCCCAAACGUUGGAAAGAGACUGUUGCUUACUUUUCAUUGCCCACGCAUCUUGUACGGCUUCGAACAACGUAGGAAUAGGUCGAACAUAGGAAUAGGUGGUUGUCGCAUCCAAGUCUGAGGUGUUGUGUCGAUUCAUGUGUCAUAUCAGUCUUAAUGCUCCAUAUUAACUUUGACAUGACUGUUGACUGUUACCACUGGAGUACACGAGAAUGUGUCCUAUUAGAACAAACCAAAUCUUAUAUAAGAAUUACAUCUUACUUCUCAGAUGUCACAAAAAAAAAAAGUAUCAUUUUAAUAAUUUUAAUUUUAUCCAGAUUAACAAUUUUAAAAAUAUAUCAUUAUUAAAUUUUAUAUUUUAAAUAUAGUAUUUUAAUAAUUAAAAAUAUAAACAAAUAAAAAAGGAAUAUUCUACAACAAAAAUAUAAAAUUUUAACAUAAUAAUUCCAACGCUGAAGGAUUUAAUUUGUCUCGCCAAAAAAUAAAAUCAGUUUGAAUGUAAUUGGAGAGAGCCUCUAUCAUUUGAUAUGGUGCUCCUUGUGUUAGCAACGAUCGAUCGGAUGAGACAAAAGUGAUUUUAAGAAAAGCUAUAGAAUAUGAACACAUGUCCUCCCCCAACAACAUCAAAAGAACACAUUAUCCCAUUAAUGUCGACUCGAGGUUUGCAUACGUCAUCUUGUUAGCCAUAUGCCAAUAUGCCUCCUUUGUUCUUUUAAGACCUUUGAGAUUGCCUUCGGUACUGUCCUAUGGUCGGCCACACCAUUUUUUUCGAAUGAUGGACGGUGCAAAGGAGAGAAGGUGUGCUGCAUUGGCGCUCACGGAUGCACCAAUGAUAAAUAUUUUAAAUAUAAAAAUCAUGUUAAAUAAGGGAUAAGUGAUAUGUAAUUAAAGGGAAUAGAGUACGGCGUUCUUUGAUGGAUUGGUCGCAAUGGAUGUAACGAGACACUCGAAUAGGAUGACACAAUGCGCCAACAUCGGUUUUAGAUUUAUAUGGAUUAUGAUAAUACAAGAGAUGGACAUACCUAUCUCAGCGUGUAAAUUAUUCAUUAGGCGACAAACACAGGGAAGACGCCAACCGACACGAGCGAAGGGGACGAUAACUACUAAAGCACAGGUAUCAGACAACGAACCCACAAGCAGCUUUUUAACCGGAGGAACGUACGUAUUAGCCACACUGUAUGCCAACUCUCAGAGCUGUGAAAGAGCAUGAAGCAUGGUGUGGCGUGGCGUGCACACGACUUCCAAUGGCUUUGCCUUGGGCAUGGUUAGCCCCGGCCCCUCGGUCAUGUCCACCUCCUCCCCCGGAAGCUUCUCCCACUCGAAACAGUGGAUCAAGGUCGCGAGUGCCAGGCCGAUCAGUCGCAUGGCGAGGCCUUCCCCGGGGCACUUGCGCCGCCCGGACCCGAACGGAAGCAUCCUAAGCCCUGCCUCCUUCCCUCCCUCACACUGGAACCUCUCCGGCUUGAACUCCUCAGGCUCGUCCCAUGUGUUAGGGUCCCUGUGGAUAGCCCACGCGUUCGCCAAAAGCAUCGUGCCGCGAGGCACGUCGUAGCCACCGACGGUGCAGUGCUGGGAAGACUCAUGGGGCACCAGGAGCGGCACAGCGGGGUACAGCCGGAGGGUCUCAUUGAUGAUGCAGUUGAGAUAGGGGAGGUUUGGGAUGUCUUUUUCUUCCGCCAUGCGCCCUUGGCCGAUCUUGGCAUCGAGUUCAGCCCUCGCCGCGUGCAGGACUUCGGGGUGGAUGAGCAGGAGGCACAUGGCCCAUUCCAUGGUGGAGGCCGUCGUGUCUGUUGCUGCUCCCAGUAAUUCCUAUACAUGAAAAGUAGUGUGUGCAUUAUUUACUAUUUAAGAAUUAGUGAAUAGAAAAUAAAUGAUUAUUUACUAAUUCUUAGAACUUAAUUAUUAUUACUGAAAGCAUGGAUCAGCUUGACAUCAUAACCGACUUGCGGCGACGGAUGUAAUCUCGCUUCUAUUACCUCUCGGCGUCCAUCAGUGCACUUUGUCGCGAAUUUAAGCGGGGAGACUAACAUAACCGAAAAUUACGAAUAGCGAAGAAACGAGACGUACCGCACUGAGGGCCUUAAUGGUGACGUCGGUGUAAGUUUCCGGAUCGCUCUCCUGUAGGGACAACAUAACCUCGAUCAUCGUUGGUCUCUCCUUAUCUCCGUUGCUGCCACUCCGACGCCGGCGGGCACGAUGACGCUCGAUCAGUUGUCCGAUUAGUGCGUCUCUCUUCUGCACGAGCCUCGCGAGUUUCCUCUCCGGCCCGCGCCACCCCAGCCUCUGCAGCACCGGAAAGAAGUCCGCCACGUUUGCCGCCCCGCUCACCGCAGACGUCUCCUCCACUAUCUCCCGGAAACGAUGCCUGUCCUCCGCGGACUCCUCGAGGGCCGUGGCCACCAACCCCAUCAUCACGUCGUACACCAGAUUGAAUAACCUCGACUUCAUCUCGACCCGCCGCGGACCGUUCGGCUCAGAAUCUCCGGGCUCGAGGAAGAGGGACUUAGCCAGCGACCGGACCACGCGGGUCCGUGAGUCGGAGGACGAGCGAAGGGCGGCCGAGGAUAAGAGGUGAACGGCGUAGAUGCGUCGGAGGUCACGCCAGUGGGGGCCGUGGGGCGUCCAGCCCAUGGUGGUGCAGACGAAGCCUAAGAUCUGAGGGGCGAGGAGGUUGGGGCGAUUGGCGAAGGCGACGUCGUGAGCAGUGAAGCACUCUUCCGCGGCGGGAGCGGAGGAGACGAGGAGAACAGGGCGGGAUCCGAGGCGGAGGAGUACGACGGGGCCGCGGGCGGUGGCGAUGGCAGCCAAGGCGCGAUGAGGCGGGAGCUUGGCGAUGAGGUGGAGGUGGCCGAUGAUGGGGAACGAAGGGGGGCUCGGCGGGAGAUUUUUGCGAACACUCUUGGUCCAUCGCCAUGCCAGGGAUGCGAACAAGACGAAGAGAGGGAUAAGAAGAGAAGAGAGGAGAGGGAGAGAGGAGGAGGCGUCGGCCAUGGUUUGUUGUCCGAGGAUGAAAGGUUUGCGCGUAAUGGUUGCUUAUAAGCCCCAUGGGAUAAUGUCUCCUUGAGUCGACACUAUUAUGGAUCAUCAUCGGUGGGGUUUGACAGAAUUGGGUUCGGACCUCCAUAGGUUUGGAUGUCUCCUAUAAAUGAUACGGAUGUGACCAAGAGGAAGAGAGGGAUACGAAGAGAAGAGAGGAGAGGCAGAGAGGAGAACACGUCCGAGGAUGGAAGGUUUGCGUGAAAUGGUUUCCGACAGAGGUUGCUGAAGUGUCAUGGGACAAUGCCUCCUUGAGUCAAACACCGGUAUCGAUCAAUCAUCAUCAACGAGUGACUUGUCCCAAACGUUGGAAAGAGACUGUUGCCCGAAUGCCUACGUUUGCAGAUGGGCAAUCUUUUUUGAGAGAAGUUUCAAAAGAUUGUUUAUUUACUAUUGACUUUGGAUCCUCCAUAUACGAUUACCGCUUACGUUUAGUCCCUCAUUAAACAAAUAAAAUCUUAUAUGUUACAUCUUAAUUCUCAGAUAUCACCAAAAGAAAUGUAUCAUUUUAAUAAUUUUAAUUUUAUCCUGAUUAAAAAUUUUAAAAAUAUAUCACUACAAAAUCUUAAAAGUUUUACAUUUUAAAUGUAGCAUCUAAAUAAUUAUAAAGGCAAACAAAUAAAAAAGGAAUACUCUAUUACGAAAAUAUAAAAUUGAAACCGACUAAUUCUAACGUUUAAGGAUUUAAUUUGAUACGGUCCAGCAACGAUAGACCGGCUAAGACAACAAAUGAUGAUAGGAAAAACUAUAACACAAGAAAAUUACUCUCAAACUCAGAGUUGAUAACAAAUAUAUUCUCAAAAUAUUAUUUUUUUUGGGAAAAGAGAUACAUAAAAGUAUUAUUUGCAAAUAUACCCUCAAAAUUGUCUAACCAGAAAGCUUGGCUUAGAUAUCCUCAAAAAGGAUGUAAAGCUGCAACAAUUCCAAGAAGCUACAUUAGAUAUAUACAUAGAGUUAGCAAAUUGUCACCCCAUGGCUAAUUAUCAAUACAGUUCAAAUUAACAUUAGGUAUCGAUUGCAGCUGAAGCACAAACAACUUCUGAUGCCCAGUAUAACUUCCAGUUGCCAAGAGUCUUAGAUAAAAUAGUCAUCACCAUUACUAAACCUAUCAAAAAUCGGUGUUGUAUAUUUCAAGAUUUAUCAAAAGAAAAGGAAAUUAUUACCCACAGAACAUGCUCAGCAUGCAUGGAAAAUGUUAUCAUCCGAGAAGAAUACAGUAUCAUUGAAUCAAGUUCAUGAAGAAGAUUUGGUUGCUAGAAUAGGCUGAACUGCAGCUUUGAAGUCCUCCAAGAAUUUCUGCUCUGAAAACCUUUGAGCGUGCUUUCUAGCAACUGCAGCUAUUGCUAGUCUCUCUGCCUCUGCCAUCUUAAUCACUUUGAGGAUAGCUUCAGUAUAUUCCACUUUGUUUGAUGCUAGAAAUCCUGUUUUACGUCCACAUUCAUUCAAAAUUAUGUCCAUCUUGGGACCUGCUGAAUUAUGAGCUGAUGGGAAGAAAAGUAUUGUCAGUGGAUAGCAUGCUUAGCUUUCGGAUAAACAGUGAUUAAUCACACCAGAUUAAUCACUGUUUGUCCACAUGGGAUGGGAGUCCACAUGCACUAACCAAUUGGUACCACACCAGAUGCCAUGUACUCUACGACACUAAUUCCAAAAUGUUCUCAAUCAUGGAGUGAAGCCCGGCAACAGCACCUCCCAGAAGUUAGACCAAGUCCCUGUUACGGUGAACAAUUCAAAAAGAGCUGACGUAAACAUGGCAAACAAUAGAAGAAACUGUAUAUCAUUUAUGCAUUGGAGGCAGUAGAGUUUUAGAUGAUGUAGUGAAGAUUCCUCUCAAGUCUCAAGAACUACUAAACAUAAAGUUCAGGCACAAGACGACAUCCAAAAUUGCAUGUUCUGCGAAUAGUAUGUCAAGGUUUGAGCUCCGAUGCAUAGCCACGAUUAGAUUGAUCUAAAACUUUCUUGUUCCCUCUCUCAGAAGACCUUUGAUAUUCCCUCGAGUCUGAAGGUAUCCAAUAACUUGUUAUCCUUUGGACACUAUAUUCAGUCGUGCAUUAAUGGGUCAGUCGUAGUUUACAGGAGACGGUCAAACUAGUUGAAAGAAUGGUAUUGCUCAGAACAGUUCUAGAUCGAUUCCACUGGAACUUCAAAUUGACCACUGGUCAAAGUUCUGACACGGCAGACAAAUGAGUAGACCAUUAAUGGGAGUUCCAUCCAUGCUAAUGGUGGAGUAAAAAUCUGUCGGCGUUCAUCUCCACCUGCAAACUAUGGAACUGACUUCUGGUUUCCAUAAGGGUAGAAAAGAAAUAUCCAAAAAAACCAUACAUGUUCAGCUUUGUUUUAGUAAAUAACCCUGGGCCUUCUAGAAUGAAAAGAGCCGAAGAAGGAACAUAUGGAAUGUUGAAGUCCUUAUCCUCCUGCACAUCUCCAGCCUCAAGCUACUCAUUAUGCUCUUUCUGGAUAUGCUUCGAUUAGUCAAUAACAUAAAAGGGUAGCACAAAACCAAACAGUAUAUAAAGGAUAACGGAGUCCUUAUAUGGGAAAUUCUACUUGCUACACCUAAACUCAAACAUAGAUGUCACUAACUCUGUUUUGAUCCACCAAAAUUUAAGAAAAAACCAGAGAAUAUUGUUAGUUGUGUACAGUGAAAACAAAUCUAGAGACAAAAAAGGGAAUCCAAAACAAAAAAUAUACUAGCAGCUAGGAAUUUUCAAGUUGAAAGAAAACUAGUGCUGCAGAUUGAACCUAUUAGCAGCAUCCCUGCGGAACUCCUCAAAAUUAUCCAAAUUUAGUUCCCUGCGUCUCUCUUUGAGCUUCUGCAAUCUUUCUUCAUCCUGCUUAUUCCGACAACUACCCACAAAUUGGAGCUUUGGCCUAGGCAUGUCCUGAUCUAGUAUUCCAACAGAUUGUGCAAACGCUUCCAGUUGAAGGCUAUGAGCCUUGAUGAGAAUCAAGUGUCACAGUUAAUAUUGUGAUAUCAACUAACCAUAUGCCCACAUGAUGAGGGCAUUCACAGACAUCACCUUCUCUGGGCGAAACUGGGCAACUGAUAUAAUCACAGGACUCCUAACUGGCUUUCCCAGAGGAAGCAUCCGCUUGGACAUUCAGUACUUUCUUUCAUCAAUGAUGGUUUAAUAAAUCUCUAGCAGUGAAUAAUUAAAUGGAGCCAGAUGAUAAAAUAGGAUGUUUUGAAAUGUCCAACUCGCUAAGUCUUUUAAACAAUUGCAGGUAAUAAGACACAUUUAGCUAAACCGUGAAACUUAGCUCUCUAAAGUUGGUUUUGUAAAGAAACAGGACAUCAAAAUUAAAUAUAAUUGGCUUGGAAAUUUGUCAUGCAUUCUAAAAUUGUUAAGCAACAGUCAGGUAUAAGCCAGGCUGCCAAUUUACAAGAAUUAUAUAUAUACCUGAAGGGAUGAAGUAUCACAGGGAGGGUACACUCUCUUAGUGAGUGGAGGAAUCUUCCACAGACAAUCUAUAUGUGACUUGGCCCAUGAGGAGUUUACCAUUGCAAGAUGUGCACAGGAUCCCACCGAGCCAUACAACCAACUAAAUAUUGUAUAGUACACCACUUUGCACCUGGAUAGCAGAAUGCAGCCUCACAAGUAAAGAAGACAUAAGAUGAUUAGCACCACACGUCAAAGAAAAAAAGACUUCUUCUUAGUCCAAACAAGACUAGAUUGCCUAUACCUCGACUGCCAAAUCCAUACAAUUUAAUGCUUAUUUAUUUCUUUGAAGUCAGAGUAUCAGUAUUCUGACCUCGUCUACAGGAGUGAAGAACAAUAAGAAGCAGUGUUCAUCGCUUAAAAUCUUUACAUAGCAAUUGGUUGCAAACAAAUCAUGACAUACAUACAAUACAGAAUAAGCACUAGGAAAAAGCAGGACAUGGAGCAAAAGGAAUGACCAUGUUCUCAUAUGUGUGCUCCAAUCCGUUUAAAAAGCUCUUGUUAUUGUUGAAUAAAUCAAAUGUCACCUCAUCACACAAUUCUAAGAAAAUAUUGCAUAGAUUAAAUGGAACUUACAAAGAAAGUUGCAUCCAGAGGUGAAAGCAGACAUGUGGCCAUUUAACAAUAAAAAUUUAACAAACAUGACCUUUAAGCAACAUUACCAGGAGUCAUUUCUUGUGAAACAGAUUGUAGAGUGAUACUCAAUUGCAAAAACAACAUAAGUUUACAAUUAGCGUAGGACACCAACUAAGCAACUAUUUUUAGAACCUAGCUUAUGAACAUGAUCAAGAACAAAGGUCUAAGCUGUACCAGUUCUUAUAAACAGAUUGCAAAUGAUAAAGAUUCCAAAAAUCAUGAAAGCAACUAUUUCUGCAGUCAACUGAAGAUACUAUAUCUGCAAAUACCUCAUAGCAAUUAGAGCAUCAUUAUUGUACAUUGAGCUGCGCUGGAGUACACGAGAAAAACCAUAUCCGAGCUGGUGGUCGUAUAGUAAGUAUAGCAAAUAACUUUGCACCCAAAAAUCCGAGCAAGCAGGUAGGUAAAAGCAUAUAACCACUAGUAUCAAAAUAGAAUUGAGGGGUGAAUUUGCACAGAGCCUUCCACGAAAAAUACACUGAACCAAGACUUUAUCCAAUCAUAGUAAAAUGAGGAUAUGUGUGCUCUUCAAUGCAUUUCCACCUGUACAAGUGAAUGACCUAACAGUGCAUGUUGGCACGUAAACUAUGGGAUCAUUUAACCAAAACUGAAGUGCCAGAAAAGGAUGAACUUGUUUAUAGCAAAAAAAAUACAAAAGAACAAUAGGUAUUGAUGAUGGACUCUUCUUUCUUAUCAAAUUAAAAACCUAAAAUAUUAAACACUCUUCGUUGUUUUGUUUCAUAGACCGAAGGUAAUGGUGGUAAGCAACAAAACAUCCUAACAUCCUCACCAAUUUCAUAAUGUAAAUGACUAGUAAAGACGGCGUAGCCGAGAUCGGGGUUCUCUUCCUGCACGGCUCUCAGGGCGCACCACAGGACCCUCUCCCCGCGACCGCCGUCGUUGGUGUAAGAAUGGAAGAACCCCACCGCCCUCCGCCCUCCGCCUCCCCCGCCGCCCCGAGAUCACGGCCGCGACAGCGGAGAAGAGUACCAGGGAUAGAAGGGAAGAAAGCAAGGUGGUCGACAACAAGACCCAGACCGCCAUGGAUCGCGCUCCGACUCCUCGCGGCCCACCGGAUUUGGGUCUCGGCGGGCGAGCUAUGGGGUCUUGUUUAUAAGAAAAGAAACCAUCCGUGCUUGGUACAACGGAUGGCCGAUACACCACCCACCCACACUGUGAUUGGAUGCAGCUAGCGAACCCACAAGUGGGCCACCUCAGAGUGGCUCAAAUCAGCGCGACGGCUGGACCCUGAAGAAUUUACGGUCGAUUGCGCCUUGGUCUUAUUCGACGCUAAUCCUCCAUAUUAGUCUCCGAUCGUGCAACGAGGAAGAAGGGAAUCGGAGAGGACGUAGUUGGGGCCGCAAUGGUGGGAAGUGGCGGUGGAAAGGGGGAAAGAUAAAGAGUUUCAUGGUUCCACGACAGGGAAAAGAAAAAGCACUAAUUACAUAUUAUCUCCGUACUUAUGUUCUUUAAUUUAAUAAUUUUUAUAUUUUAAAAUUUUAUAUUAUGAUUCUCAUAAUUAUGAAAUUAAAAUAAAUUAUUAUUUUUUAAUAUCAAGUAUAGCAUUGAAGCAUGAGACAUCAUCAUCAUUUUAAUCAUAUUAUUCAAGAUAAUAUAAUAUCUUAUUCCUAAUGAUUUUCAAUUCUUGAGUCACAUAUCUUUAUCUAUUGAAUUCGUAUAUCCCUUAAAAUCGUGCAUAUAAGAGAGAUGUGUUUUAUCUAGGGAGUUCGUAUAUCCCUUAAAUCCUACAGAUCUGUGGAAGAUAAUAAAAGAGGUCAAUUGUCAUCCUCUUUAGUGAUGAUUCACAUGGCAAGAGCUGCGAAGACAUACCUCAAAUCACUAUCCAAAUCUUUACACGCCCUAAAUAAGGGUUAUUCGCUUAGAAGGAGAAUAAGAUAGGAGAAUAGAAGGUAACAUCCAAAACAAACCUAACCUAUAACUCUUUGGUUCUCUCGUAUUACGAUUGAAAUUACGUUAUUAUUCAUCGAUUUUAUGCCAAUCGAACAUAUGAUAUUACAUAUCGGGUCUUACAUAUGUGCAGUUGACAAUGUUAGAAAAUUAAAAUAAAUUAUUUAUUUUUAUAAUUAUAAAAACCUUAAUAUAAUUUUUUUAAUAAAUUUUUUAAGUAUAAAAAUUAUCAUACCCUAAUACAUAGGGUAAGUAAUACGUAAUUAGUUCAAUCAUCAAAGGGAAUAGAGUACGGCGGUUUUUGAUGGAUUGGUCUUAAUGGAUGCAACAGGACACUGAAAUAGUAUGACAUAAUGCGCUAACCUCGUUUUUAGAUUUAUACGGAGGACGACAAUACAAGAGACGGUCAUACCUAUCUGAGCAUGUAAAUUAUUAAUUAGGCCACAAACACAGGUAAGACGCCAACCAACAAGAACAAAAGCGUCCAUAACGACAUAAGCACACGCAUCAGACAACGAACCCUAUAGCAGCUUUUUAACCGGAGGAACGAACGUAUAUGCCAUACUGUAUGCCAACUCUCAGAGCUGUGAAAGGGCAUCAAGCAUGGUUUGGCGUGGCAUGCACAUGACUUCCAAUGGCUUUGCCUUGGGGAUGGUUAGCCCGGACCCUUCGGUCAUGUCCACCUCCUCCCCCGGAAGCUUCUCCCACUCGAAACAGUGGAUCAAGGUCGCGAGUGCCAGGCCGAUCACUCGCAUGGCGAGGCCUUCCCCGGGGCACUUGCGCCGCCCGGACCCGAACGGAAGCAUCCUAAGCCCUGUCUCCUCCUUCCCUCCCUCGCACUGGAACCUCUCCGGCUUGAACUCCUCGGGUUCAUCCCAUGUGUUAGGGUCCCUGUGGAUGGCCCACGCGUUCGUCAAAAGCAUCGUGCCGCAAGGCACGUCGUAGCCUCCGACGGUGCAGUCCUGGGAAGACUCAUGGGGCAGCAGGAGUGGCCCGGCGGGGUACAGCCGGAGGGUCUCAUUGAUGAUGCAGUUGAGGUAGGGGAGAUCGGGGAUGUCUUCUUCUUCCGCCAUGCGCCCUUGGCCGAUCUUGGCAUCGAGCUCGGCCCUCGCCGCGUGCAGGACUUCAGGGUGGUUGAGCAGGAGGCACAUGGCCCAUUCCAUGGUGACGGCCGUCGUGCCUAUUCCUCCUCCCAAUAAUUCCUGCACAUGAAAGUAGUGUGUGUGUGUGUGUAUUAUUUACUAUUUAGGAAUUAGUAAAUACAAAAUAAAUGAUUAUUUACUAAUUCUUAGAACUUAAUUAUUAUUACUAAAGCAUUAGAGUAGUUUGACAUCACAACUGACUUGUGUGGCGAGGGAUGUAAUCCCGCUUCUAUUACCGCUCGGCGUCCAUCAGUGCACUUUAGUCGUGAACGGAAGCGAGGCGACGAACGUAACCGGAAGACU